rnacentral:tRNA from 1 species
CCGGUUGCUGCCUACCUUUGAGCGUGCCCUCCGGAGGCAAAGGUCAUAGGUUCGAAUCCUAUCGGGCGGGCCA